rnacentral:lncRNA from 1 species
UUAACGGAGUCAACUCGGCUAGUUGCUCUAGUUGUUGAUUGUUUUGGGUCGGCUGCGUUCGAUGUGGCAAAUGAAGUCGGUGUUCCUGCUUAUAUUUUCUUUACUACAACGGCCAUGGUACUGUCUUUUCUCUUUCAUUUACCUGAGCUAGAUGUUAAGUUUAACUGUGAGUAUAGGGACAUGCCUGAACCGGUCCAGUUACCCGGAUGCGUCCCGGUUCACGGGCGUGAUUUUAUAGAGCCGGUCCAACAGAGAAAGAAUGAGGCAUAUCGAUUUCUUUUAAGCUUUAGGAAACAGUAUCAUUUAGCAGCUGGGAUUAUGGUUAAUAGUUUUAUGGAAUUGGAAACGGGGCCUUUCAAGGCUUUAAUGGAAGGAGAAUCGAGUUUUAAUCCUCCUCCGGUUUAUCCGGUUGGACCGUUGAUUCAGACCGGAUCAACCAAUGAGACUAAUAAGAGAUCCCCUGCGUGUUUAAAGUGGUUGGAUGAGCAGCCAAGUGAGUCAGUUCUAUUUGUUUGUUUUGGUAGUGGAGGGACGCUAUCACAGGAGCAGUUAAAUGAAUUGGCCUUAGGACUUGAAAUGAGUGGGCAAAGAUUCUUGUGGGUUGCUAAGAGCCCACACGAGGAAGCAGCAAAUGCCACUUAUUUUAGCGUCCAGAGCAUGAAAGAUCCUCUUGAUUUUUUACCGAAAGGGUUCCUGGACAGGACUAAAGGGGUGGGUCUAGUGGUGCCCUCUUGGGCUCCUCAGGCUCAGGUGCUGAGCCAUGGCUCGACCGGAGGGUUCUUGAGUCACUGUGGAUGGAACUCGAUUUUGGAAAGCAUAGUGCACGCUGUGCCAAUAAUUGCAUGGCCACUCUAUUCAGAACAAAAGAUGAACGCUGUGCUUCUGACUGAUGAUUUGAAGGUCUCAUUUAGGGUCAAAGUCAAUGAAAAUGGUCUGGUGGGCAGAGAAGAUAUAGCCAAUUAUGCAAAGGGCUUGAUUCAAGGAGAAGAAGGGAAGUUGCUAAGGAAGAAGAUGAGAGCACUAAAGGAUGCAGCCGCAAAUGCUUUGAGCCCAGAUGGAUCUUCUACCAAAUCACUUGCCCAGGUGGCUCAGAGAUGGAAGAACCCGGAAAUUGAGACAAAGUAAUGCGGUUUCCUUCAAUGCAUGUGUAAUCUUCUUUAUUUUUUUGCUAAUCCAAUAAUUGCAACAUUGCGUGGUAUAUGCCUAACGACCUAAUCUAACAAUUUUCAAGUAAUUAAUCAAGUAAGUGUAAUUAGCUGGUCACCUAAUUUUAAAUUCUUUCUUUUUUUUUCUUUCUCCAAAAAAUAUUGCACUGUCUCCAGCAUCAACUGUAUCUAACUCUUAAUAAUAUCUAGUUCAGCUGUAUUUAGUCAGACUUACUAAUCUUGGGUGCUCCAGAAAAACAAAAAGAAAGAAUUAACGCUUAAUAAUAUAGGAAAGCAAGUAAUUAGUAAAUAACAAGGGUAAAAACACGUUUAUGACUAGAAAAUUAAUUAAAAAAUAAACCCUUUCAAACUUCUUUCUUUCAUAUAUCUUAAUUGCCAUCAUAAUACUUCUUAAUAAAAUGUUAUUGAGGCACAUUAAUUACCAUAAUAAGACUGCACCCAUGCCUAUGAUUUAUAAACAAUGAUUUUCUUUGCAAAUUUUUUGCUAAUUAGGACUAGAACAUAAUAUUUAUUCCUGUCACACAUUUUGUACUAUAUAAAUUUAGAUGCGUCAUGACUAUACUAUUAUGACACUUUUAAAAAUAAUAAUGACAAAAUCUCUUGACUUUUGUGUCUUUGGCGUGACUAAGUAACUUUCAAGCAACUUAUUUAAUUGACCACUACAAUUCAAACUGAUAAAAUUCAAAAAAGAUUUUUAAUUUUUGGACACCCUUCUUUUCUUUUCUUUUCUUUUCUUUUCUUUUGUUGUUGUCGUUGUAAGGACCAGUUCACUUUUUAAGCUUCUGCCCUACUACUAAAAUAGAACCAAUGAUAAUCAAUAAAUUUUAAAAAUUGUGAAUAACGAGUUAUCUUCAUCACCAAAUAGAGAGGGUGAUUAAAGAAUAAUGAUGUGCUUGCUCUGGGUCAUAUGAUAAUGAUGGUUAAAAGUAGACAAGAGUUUUAAAAGUAGACGAGGGUUUCCAACAAGUCCCAUUCACUUUUUUGUUAUUAUUUUUUUCUCUUUGUGGGCGAGUUGAAUAAGAAGUACAAUAAUCAUGAUGCAUUUAAGUCAAAUAAAAUUUAAAUAAGUAAAUAAAUAAAUGUUGAAUCCAAAUCAAUCUCCAAGAUCAACUUGAAACCCCCAAGACCCACUCUAUGAAAUUUGACCCUGAUCUGGAGUUAACACUAAAUCAAGCUUUGUACAAGAAUUACGUAUAAGCACUUGAAACCCAACCAUACAAACAAUAAAAGACAGAUCACAUACUUGCACCAAGGAUUAUAGUGGUUCGGCCAAUUUCUUGCCUACAUCCACUGUGAAAAGAGAAAUAAGCUUUUACUGAUUUCCAGAGAACAAGUUACACAUAUGAAGAGUGAAUACAACUCAAUAGAAUGCCUUUAGUAACAGAGCCUGGGAUCUUUUAUACUCCUCUCAUAACCAAAUGAAAGAGCCCCCAGAAGUCAGCUCACGUUCCUGGGUUUCUAGCCAACUUCAGCCUCCUGCGUGAUCUAACCGAAAUAACCAAUUCUUGAAUUGGCUCUGGGACACUUGUCAAAGACUCAUGCAAUCUACUAGCUAAAACGCAGAUGUGGCUGCCGUUUGAAUUAGUGAAUCAUGUGAUGAAUCACGUGCAUUACUAACACAUCCAGCCGACAUAGCGUUUAAUCCAUUCAGCUUCUCUGAACUCUAAUUCAAACGACAAAUCAUUAUGCUUCAUGACAAACAAUCGACAUGUCAUACAAAUCCCCAGGUUCAGAUUUGAGCUUCACAACUCCAACAUUCUCCACCUUGAACUCAAAUCAGUUACUCCUCAGUUUCUGCCUUCCACUUUAUCCUUGCAGUUUUAUAGCCUGCAGAUACCAGCUGAGUUCAUGCAGAACUCCAGCUUGGCAACUGGUACAACCUUUGUCAACAUAUCAGCAAGGUUAUUAUCAGUGUGAACCUUUAUCAGCUUCACCACUCCUUUAGACACCUCCAGCCUGACAAAGUGAAGUUUAAUGUCAAUGUGCUUUGUCUUUUCGUGAUGCACCUGGUUCUUGCUUAGGCAAAUAGCACUUUGACUGUCACAGUGAACAACCACCUGUCUUUGUUCAAAUCCCAAUUCUGUAACCAUUCCUCUGAGCCAUAUUGCCUCCUUAAAGGCUUCUGCAGCUGCAGUGUGUUGUGCAAAUUUUAAUGUACUCGCAAGCGCACGAAUCUAUUGUAGUAUAGACUAAUGGUGACGAGUAUCGAUCUCACGAGGAUGUGGAUUUUAAUUGUGUAUAGAAUUAAUUUUGUAAAUGGGUUGUUGGAUUUAUGGUGGAAAUGAUUUGGAAUAUGCUAAAACUUAAAUUAAAAUGGCGAGAAUAAAUUCUAAAUUUGGAAUUGAAAUGGCGAGAAUAAAUUGAAAUAACGUACUUGGGUAUCUGGAUCCGUAUCAACAUGCAUCAUGGGCUAAAUAAUCCGUAUUAAUGUCAAUUAAAUCAUGAGCGGGGAAUCCACACCUCAUGAACCACGCUCUAAUCAAUAUGGUGCUAAGGGCUUAUCGUGCCAAAUAAUAAUAACAUUGUACUAGAGGGCCGGUGAAACCAAGGCGGUACUAGACAAAAUUAGUAUUAUUUAUCGACGAAAAGUCAAAACAUCCACAAAAACUAGAGGGGAAGAGAAAAUAAAUUUACCAAAUAAAGCCCAUGACACAUGUUGAGACUUCACCUUCAACCCAAGCUUGAAAAGAAAUUAGCUACUCAUAAUUGAACUAGGGGCAAAAUGGGAAUUUAUUAAAAUACGAAGAAAAUACAAGAUGGAGAGGGAAUUACAGAAAAUGGAUCCCAAAAAUGGAUUCAGAGAUAUCAAAUUAGGGGGGAGAGGCCCCCUUUUUAUAGAUACAUGGAGUAAAUCAUGGCCAUCGGAUUAAAAACAGUUUGGACGCUCAGGAUUGCGCCACGUCAUCAGUCAACAGUACGCGGUUUGACCACGCGGAUGAAUAGUAACACGGUUUGACCCGGAUGAACAGUAAUGCGGUUUGGUUGACAAUAAUCCUGUGUGAUGCAUGUACCGUACGCGAGAUUUUUCGUCCACUGAUAUGCUGCCACGUCACCAUCAACAGUAUAUAAGAAUUUUAGCCCAACAGGAUCGUGACACCUCAUCAGUCAAUGCCACAUCAUCGGUCAAUGCCACGUCAUCGUCCAUCUAUGUGAACAGUGUCAUUUUUCUUUUUAUGCUCCUCCUAAGGUUUUCGACCGUCCUGAGUUCAAAAGUGAUGUCCGUUUUGCAGUCUGAUCUCUCCUUUAUUGUGAAAUGACUAUAAUGCCCCUAAAAUACAUAAAAUACUUAAUUAAAAUAAAACACACGGAAUUAAAUCAAAAGAAGGUUAAAUUCAUAAAAGUAAAGGUGUUAAUAAAACUUGUAGUGUAAAAUGACGAUUUUCUCCUUUAUAAAUAUACAUUUUCUAACACUCAACACAGUGUACUCGGCUUCUGUUGUUGACAGAGCAACAACACUUUGUAGUGAAGCUUUCCAGUUUAUGGUGCAGCCACUGAGUGUGAACAAAUAGCCUGUCAGAGACCUCAUUUUAUCUAGAUCCCCUGCAUAGUCAGCAUCCACAUACCCUUCAAUAUCAACUUCUGUACCUUUUUUUGUACCAUAGAUGAGGCCAUAAUCAGCGGUCCCACUGAGAUAUCUCAAGAUCUAUUUUACAGCUCUCCAGUGCUCCUUUCCAGGAUUAGCCAUAUACCUGGAAACUACACUUACUGCAUGGGAGAUAUCUGGCCUUGUUAAGACCAUGGCAUACAUCAAGCAUCCCACAGCACUUGAAUAUGGAGUUGUGCUCAUCUCAGCUUUUUCAUCUUCAGUUCUUAGACACUGAUUACAAGACAACCUGAAAUGAGCAGCUAGAGGAGUUUGAACUGGUUUUGAAUCCACCAUUUCAAAUCUCUCAAGUACUUUCUUUAUAUAGCAGUGCUGUGACAGUUUUAGUAUCCCCUUUUUACUAUCUCUCAACAGCUCUACUCCAAAAAUCUUCUUGGCUGCUCCAAAGUCCUUCAUCUCAAAGGUAUUCCUUAACUGCUUCUUCAGUUUAUCUAUCUGAUCCAUGUGGUUACAUGCUAUAAGCAUGUCAUCAACAUAUAGCAACAGAUAGAUCUUACCCCCAUCCUUCAAAUCUUUGUGGUAUACACAGCAAUCAUAAGAGCAUCUUUGAAAGCUAUUCUCAGCCGUGAAUUUAUCAAAUCUCAAAUACCAUUGUCUCGGGGAUUGCUUUAAUCCAUAUAGAGACUUUAUCAAAUGACACACAGAGUCAGCUUUAGCUGGAUCUUCAUAACCUCUUGGUUGUGCCAUUACAAUCAUUUCUUCCAAUUCACCAUGAAGGAAUGCAGUCUUGACAUCCAUCUGUUCCAGGUGCAUGUCAUUUACUGCAACCAGUGCUAACAAGAUCCUCAAGGAAGAGUGUCUUACCACUGGGGAAAAAACCUCAUUGAAAUCAAUUCUCUCUUUUUGUGUGAAGCCUUUGGCAACCAGCCUGGCUUUGUAUCUAAGUGGUUCAACUCCUGGUAUACCCUCUUUGAUCUUAUAAAUCCACUUGCAGCCAACUACUUUCUUCUUUGCUGGUUUUGGAAUCAGAUCCCAGGUGUGAUUCUUGAUCAGUGAUCUCAUUUCUUCAUUCAUAGCUGCAAUCCACUUCUUUGAGUCCUUACUACUGACAGCUUCAGUGUAAGACUUUGGUUCAUCUUCUUCUAUUCCCUGUGCUGCUGAUAGUGCAAAUGCAAUCAAGUCUGCAUAUGCAUACCUCUUAGGUGGCUUUAUUUCUCUUUUCUUUCUAUCUUUUACCAGCUGAUAAUCUCUGAGGUCAUCUUCACCUUCUGAUUUAUCUUCUCGUUCAGGCAAAUCUAUUCCACGUGCAUUCUCAGGCCUUGUCUUUUUAUCAGCUUCUGUGCUAGAGCUUGGAAGCUCCACCUCAAGAAAACUCUUCUUGUCACCACCUGAUUUUCUCUCAAUGGUUUGAUUUUCAGUAGCUGAGUUUUGAAGCAUUUCAUGUUCAUUAAACACCACAUCCCUGCUGAUUAUUGCCCUUGGUGGCUUCAUGUCUGUACACCACAGCUUGUAACCCUUCACACCAGCAGGAUAUCCUAAGAACACACAUUUGAAGGCCCUGGGCUCUAACUUCCCUUGUUUGACAUGAGCAUAGGCUGGGCAGCCAAAUAUUCUUAAUUGAGAAUAGUCUGCUGGUUUGCCAGACCAGAGCUCAUAUGGGGUUCUGAAAUUGAUUCCAGAAGAGGGACUCCUGUUUACUAUGAAGCAAGCAGUAUCAAGAGCUUCAGCCCAUAGACUCAUGGGUAACUUAGAGUGGAUCAGCAUACACCUAACUUUAUCUAUUAGGGUCCUGUUCAUCCUUUCAGCUAAUCCAUUUUGCUGUGGAGUGUGUCUUACUGUUUUAUGUCUAACUAUACCAUGCUUUGUACAGAAAUCAUCAAAGUCCUUAUUGCAGAACUCUAACCCAUUAUCUGUUCUCAGUCUUCUCACCUUUCUAUUGGUCUGAUUUUCAACUAAAGUUUUCCAGUUCUUAAACUGAUCAAACACUUUGUCUUUGCUCUUCAAACUAAAUACCCAAACCAUUCUUGAGAAAUCAUCAAUAAGAGAUAAGAAAUACCUAGCCCCACCUAGAGAAGCUGUCUGUGCAGGCCCCCACAGAUAAGCAUGAAUGUAGUCUAGAGUCCCCUUUGAGUUAUGGAUACUAGUACUGAAUUUCACCCUUGAAGAUUUUCCUAGGACACAAUCUUCACAGAAUCUCAAAGGCUCUAUCUUAUCUACUCCUAAGACUCCCUGUUUUGAUAGUUCUACCAAGCCCCUUUCACUCAUGUGGCCUAACCUCAUAUGCCACAGCAUGGUUUUGUUUGUUUUCUGGUUUGACACAGCAACAUCCCCUGUAACAGCUAAUCCCUGUAACACAUACAAACCAUUGCUCAUGUUCCCUUUCAUCACAACCAUUAACCCUUUCAAGACUUUUAAAGUGCCUGACUCAAGCUUAACAAGGCAUCCUAUUUUAUCCAGCAUUCCUAGGGAGAUAAGGUUUCUUUUGAGAUCAGGCACAUGCCUGACAUCCCUCAGUUCCCUAAUCAUGCCAUUAAACAUUUCCAACCUAAUUGAAUCUCUGCCAACCACUCUACAGCUUGAAUCAUUACCCAUUACCACUACCCCACCAUCACAGGUCUCAUAGUUUGUGAAUAAAGUUUUAUUAGGGCACAUGUGGAAGGAACAACCAGAAUCUAAAACCCAAUUACCUUUUGUUUGAGCAUUAGUUGCUAUUAGAACUCCAGCAGAGUCAUAGCCAUCAGAUUCUUCAAAUUCUGAUGCAACAGCAGCAUCUCCACUCUUCUCCUUUGCUUUAUUCUUCUUGUUCUUGAAUUCAGGGCAAUCUUUCUUGAAAUGACCCUCCUUAUGACAGUGAAAACAUUUCAAGUUCUUUGGCCUGGAUUUUGAUCUCUUCUUCUUGUUCUUGAAUUCAGGGCAAUCUUUCUUGAAAUGACCCUCCUUAUGACAGUGAAAACAUUUCAAGUUCUUUGGCCUGGAUUUUGAUCUCUUCUUCUUGUUCUUACUUGUCUCUCUACUUUCAGCUCUUCCUCUUGCUGUCAGCCUUUCUCCAUCCCUGGUUUCUUUCUUGAUUGCAGCCUUGGAACUCAGAGCUUCUUUUACAUCUCCCAUAGCGAGAGUCUGUCUUCCAUACAUCAAAGUAUCCACUAGAUUCUCAUAGGAACUCGGCAGAGAGCAGAGCAGAAUCAUGGCUUUGUCUUCAUCAUCAAUCUUCACAUUAAUGUCUUCAAGAUCCAAGAUGAUCUUGUUAAAAGCAUCAAUGUGAUCAGUAAUUGAUGAUCCCUCUUCCAUCUGCAGGGUAUAAAGUUUCUUCUUGGUGGCUAGUCUUUUAGCCAUUGACUUCUUUGUGUAUAAGUCUUCAAGCUUCUUCCAUAAACCUGCUACUGUUUUUUCUCCACCCACCUCUCUAAGUACACCAUCCCCAAGACUUAGAAUUAUUGCACUGUGUGCCCUAUCAAGAACCUCAGAUAAUUCUUCUUUAGUUACUUUCAUUGGCUUUUUGGAUGUUGAUUCAUCAUCGAGUGCAACAUCCAACCUUUGAUGCACCAAUAAAGCUCUCAUCUUGAGCCUUCAUAGGUGGAAAUCAUUUUCGCCAGUAAACUUCUCCACUUCCAGUUUAGUUGACGCCAUUGCAAAGACCAAGAAACCAGAGAUAGGCUCUGAUACCAAUUUGUUGAAUCCAAAUCAAUCUCCAAGAUCAACUUGGAAUCCCCAAGACCCACUCUAUGAAACUCGACCCUGAUCUGGAGUUAACACUAAACUAAGCUUUGUACAAGAAUUACGUAUAAGCACUUGAAACCCAACCACACAAACAAUAAAAGACAGAUCACAUACUUGCACCAAGGAUUAUAGUGGUUCGGCCAAUUUCUUGCCUACAUCCACUGUGAAAAGAGAAAUAAGCUUUUACUGAUUUCCAGAGAACAAGUUACACAUAUGAAGAGUGAAUACAACUCAAUAGAAUGCCUUUAGUAACAGAGCCUGGGAUCUUUUAUACUCCUCUCAGAACCAGAUGAAAGAGCCCCCAGAAGUCAGCUCACGUUCCUGGGUUUCUAGCCAACUUCAGCCUCCCGCGUGAUCUAACCGAAAUAACCAAUUCUUGAAUUGGCUCUGGGACACUUGUCAAAGGCUCAUGCAAUCUGCUAGCUAAAACGCAGAUGUGGCUGCCGUUUGAAUUAGUGAAUCAUAUGAUGAAUCACGUGCAUUACUAACACAUCCAGCCGACAUAGCGUUUAAUCCAUUCAGCUUCUCUGAACUCUAAUUCAAACGAAAAAUCAUUAUGCUUCAUGACAAACAAUCGACAUGUCAUACAAAUCCCCAGGUUCAGAUUUGAGCUUCACAACUCCAACAAUAAACUUACUAUGCUGGUCGGCAGUGUCUAAAUCUCUUAUUUGUUAAAGUGAUGUUAAUAUCCAGCAUCUCUUAAAAUUUUACAUGUAGCCUCAUCUAAAAAUAUUUGGACUUCGUCUUCUUACAAGUCAAUUUUUAACAAUAAAUAGAUAUUAUGUCGAAUUAUAGUUUUUCAAAUAAUUUUAUUUAAUCAUUUAAUUACCCAGGUAAAUUGUAUAUUAAUUGGACCUACUGCAAAAGUCAUGAAAUAAAAAAAAAUACCUAUUAAAAUUUUCGGAAAGUAGGUAAUCCAAAAAAGAAAAAAAAAAAAGAUAAAUAGCCAUCAUGCACGCAGAAACGAUGUCUCCAUAUGGCACCAUGGACGCACCGUUUCUAACUUUCUAUUGCCAUGGUGGGGUUAAGUAUAAGUGCUCACCAUAAAUAACAAGCACGAAAAUACAUUGACCAAAAAAUUAAUAGUAAAAUGAAACACUUUAUGCUUCUUUCUUUCAUUUAUCUUAAUGAUCAUUAUAUAGAAUAAAUCUCCAUAAGAUGGUAUAGGGAUGAGGCCAAGUAGUUCAUCAAUUAACAUAAUAACAAUGCAUUUAUACCUGAGCUUUUAUGUGCCACGAAUCCAUGACUUCCCUUGCACAUUUUCUGCUGAUAUUUAAGAUUAGAGGGCAUAGUAUUUCGGAUAAAAUUGAUCUUAUGAUCUGACCUGCUCCUGUGUAUUGAGCAACAUGUGAUUAGUGGUUAAUAAUAUUUGUCUGUUUUCCACAUUUUAUGCUAAAUACAUCUUAAUAAGCCCUGACUAUAUAGCAACUGUUUUUAGGAAAAUUUAAGUAUAAUCUUAGUCAAAGUCACAUCCAACGCAAAUACAAGGUCGUAUUAGGCUUAAUAUAAUACUUAGGACAAUACAGAACAUGAGUUAGGAUAAUGCCUCACAAUAUAAACACAAAUUCGGUCACUUACAAUUCUUUAUGUCUGAAAGAAAAAUAAUGUAAUACUAAAAUCUAAUAAGAUACUAAAAAGAAUUUUAUUAGUUUAUCUUAAUCUAUCCAACUCAUCUAUUAUAGGUGAAAAUUAUGUUCCAAUGAUAAAAAGAAAACAUCGGUUGUGCCCGCCAAUAUGGGGGAAAAAAAAAUCUAAAAACCCUAAAACAGAGGAUGAUUGUGAAUCAUGUGCUUGUGCCCCACCACGAAAGACCCAAUGACAAUCAAUAGUUUUUAGAAUCGUGGAUAACGUGCAUCUCUUUUGUAGUUGGCUUGCUCAAAUAUCUUCAUCCCAAAAGAUGAGGAUGAUCGGUCAUCGGUGAAUCUUGUGCUUGUGGUUGUGGUUCAGUAACUCGUAAAGCGAUUUAUACGGUAACGGUGUGACGUUGCUAUUGAGAUUGGGUUGGUAAAAUAUCAAAAUAUUUGAUAAAUAUUAAUGUAAUUUAUUAAUUAAUUUGAUAAAUAUUAAUUACUUGAUUUAUAAAUAAAUUUGAUUUGUUUCAAACUUAUAAUAUUUUUAUAAUUUUUAUUAAAAUUAUUAUUUAAAAUUUAUAUUUAUUAAAUAUUAUUAAUUUAUAUUUAUAAUUAAAAUUUAUUUACAAUAAUUAUAGCUUAAAAAUUACAAUAUCUCAAUACUAAAUAAGAGUUUAAUUAAAAUAAAAUAAGACUUUCUCACAAGUUCCCAUUCAACAUUUUUAUUUUUAUGAUGGGGAACUUUAACUGAAAAUGGGAGAAGACGAAUAAAAAGUUGGAAGUUAUUAUUCAUUAAGCCAGAUAUUUUUUAAAAAAAUAAAAAAAUAAACUCAAAACGCAAAUUACGUCAUGAGUGAGUGAUAUGGCCGAUGGUGUCUAAAUCUCUUAUUUGUCGGAGUGAUGUUAAGCUCCAAAAUCUCAUAUCUUAAGAUCUCAUAUCUUAAGUUAAGACUUACGGGUUGUUUGUUUUAUGUCUAAAAUAUUAAUUAAGCUUAAUUUAAGAUGUUUUGAUAUUUUGACUUAUUUGCUUUUAUAUAUGAAGUCUUAUUAUAUGACAUUUUUAUCGGAAUGGAAAAGUAAAAUUUCCUAAUCUUUAUCUCUGAAUGGAAAAUUAAUUUUUUCUCACAAAUACCCCCAUUAAAUGUAUUUAUUCCUAUCUAAUUAUUAGAUGUUAUAUUAUAAUUUGCGGGAUCUCAAAUUUUAUUUGGUACUAAUUACUUAACAUACAGUCAAUUUGAAUUUUAAACAAACUCUUUUAUUAAUAGAUAACAACUUUUUUAUGCAUAAAUAUUAUGUUAAAUGGCAAAAAAUGAUAUUAUCAAAUUAUUUUCCAUAAAUUAUGUAUCAAAUGCUUACCUUAUAAAUAUUUAUAACAUAUAAAAACUAUUAAGUUGUAGCAAGUAUAAAUACCUCUUUUCUUAGUUGGUUUAAGCAACAUGAAGUAGUAAACUUUCUUAGUUCUAAAAGAGUUGUAAUUGAGGAAUUGUAUUGAGUUCAUAAAAAAAAAAAAAGAGUAUUUCAAGUGUUUAAUCAUUCAAAUUCUCCAACAGAGUGGUAUCCAAACUAAUAACUAGUGCCCUAUAGAAUAUUGUAGCAAAUCUAAUCGAAGAUCUUGACAAGAGGAUUUCGAACUGGAAAAACCAGCCUGAUCGAAAUCCGAAUGUGCCCAUACAUGCUGCCAAAAUUUUCAACCUUGAAACUAAGUCGACUUACUCAGUUGGACCAAACUGAACCAGGUGAACCGCAUUGAAUCAAGCUAAACUAAAAUAAAUUGAGCCAUAAUCGAGCCAAGUCAAUCGAGUCGAACUAAUCAAUUGGCCUUCGACCUCAGUUGUUGACCACUAACCAUCAAUCGUUGACCGUAGACCAUUGACCAAAAUUUGAAAUUUUGGUUUGAAUCCUUCCCUAGAAUUUUGGACGUUUUAAAUCCAUCUAUGCAACCAAAAUUUUUAAAUUUCAACUCUAUAAAAAGUUAUGGCAAAUAAUAGUGUUGCACCAUUCUAAAUUCCAUCACUAAAAGCAAGCAACUUCGAUAAUUGGAGUAAUAAAAUGAAGGCCCUCUUUGGAGCUCAUGAUGUUUGGGAAGUCAUUGAAAAAGGUUGCGAUGAUGGAUUUAAGAAGAGGAGGCUUGCUUUGACUCAACAUUAAAAGGAUAGUUUAAAGGAUUCAAAAAAUACAGACAAGAAAGCUCUCUUCCUUAUCUAUCAAACAAUAGAUAAUGAUGGAUUUAAGAAGAUUUCGAGUUCAACUUCAGCCAAGAAAGCAUGGAAAAAAACUUCAAACCUCUUAUAAAGGAUAUAGGAGAGUGGAAAAGAUGCUUCUCCAAACUCUAAGAGGUGAAUUUGAAUCAUUGCAGAUGCGCAAAGCUGAGUCCAUUUUUUAUUAUUUUUCAAUAGCUCUGGCAGUUUCAAACCUACUAAAAAGAAACUGUGAGAAGAUCAAAGAUGUAAAAAUUAUGGAAAAGAUACUUUGCUCAUUAAGCUUAAGAUUCAAGCACAUAGUUGUGACAACUGAAGUGAUAAAAGACUUGAAGGCCGUUAUAAUCAAGCAACUUCAAGGUUCACUGUAAGCCUACAAGAGAAGCAUAAGAAAAAGCAAUAGAUCUAUGAGCAGCUCUUCGAGAUGCCAAGCAAUGAGAAGAUAACAAGCUAAGGCAAUGAGAUAGGACAAUGGUCUCGAGGUAAAGGUAGAGGCCAAGGAAAAAAUGGAGCACGCUGUUGUGGACGAGGCUAGAAUUCCAACAACAACAAUUCCAACUAUAAAAGAGAAAAAAACUCAACUAGAGAAUGAGAAAGAGGCAAAAACCAAAAUUAAGGUAUAGCAAAUCCCAGUUACAGUGCUACAAUCGUCAAAGUUUUGGGCAUUACAUUGGUUGGGCAUUGAUUCGGUUCAGUUUGUUUCGAUUUUGGAAUAAACUUUCAAUUUCAGUUUAGUUUGGUUCGAAAUUUAAAAACUCAUUCGGUCUUUAAGGAAAAUAAAAACUAAACUAGACCCGAUUGUUCAAUUCGACUCGAUUUCAAUUUGUUAUCGAUUUUUCAGUUCGAUUUUAAUUUUUCAGUAACGGUUCACUUAAUGGUUCAAAUUAACAAAUCAAUUUUUCGGUUCAAGUUAACCUACACACAAGGUUUACUAUAAUCAAUGUAGAAUAAAAAAAAUAAAAUAAUUUAAAAAUUUUUAUUCGCCAAAAAAAUGCAAGAAUUUAGACUAAAAUGAAGAACUUUCAGAAUAAUUAUUGUUGUUUUUAAUAUCAAAACUUUUGGACCAAAAUGUAAACAAAUGAAAUAACUUUAUGUGCUAUACCAAAACAAUAGGGACCAGAAUGAUAUUUUGUCAUGUUGACUUUCGGUCAAGCACCUUUUUGAAAAGUUUACAAAAAAUAUUAGGACAUAAUAGAUUAUCUAUAUGCAAACAUUUGCUAAACAUUGAACCAUAUUAAAUUUUAUAAAAGACAAGGAUUUAAACGAUAUUAUUGGUUCGGUUUGGGUUUUGCAACUUUUGAUCCAAAAAUCUCACCAAACCAAAUGGUUCAGUUCAGUAUCUAUGCAUUCGCUUAAAAAAAUCGAACCAAAUAAAAAAAAAUUGAACUAAACAUAAUUUUUCGGUUUUGAUAAAGUUUUUGCCAACCCCUAAUAACGCUUUAUAAUGUACAGGUCUAAGUACCUGAGUUAAGAGAAAAUGAAUUAUGUUGAAAAAAAAAAAUGAAGAAGAUAGCACUUUUACCAGCAUGCAAUGACACCAGUGGAGGUCAAGAAAAUACACUUUUAGGUUUUAGAAUUUUGUGGUUUGGGCCAGCGUAAACAGCGUAUGCCGACAUGGCAGAGAAAAAAAAAUUCUUCCUUUUAGCUAAGAAUAAUAAAAAUAAAGAUUUUCGGCCGAGUAACGAAAGAAAUCCACCUCAGCUAUCCUUUUUUAUCCCCUAAAAAGCAGUAAGACCACAAGACUGAGAGAGGCUGCCACAUGCCCUACUGAGGAGGUAAAAAAGUGGCUAAGGUUUUCUUGACUCUCAAGUCACGGGUGUCACCAUCAGGGGACCACAAUGCAAAUUUCUUCAACAACCUCACCUGAGGGGGGUCAACUAUUAAAAAGGACUAAAAUGACCCUUAAGCACACUCUACAAAAGCUCAAUAGUAUCUUCAAAAAUGAUAUCUUCUUCAUUAUUCAAAAAAUUAGAGUCUUCUUCUUCUUCUUCUAAGAGCAAAAAUACCAUUGUUAUAGCUUUAAGAUCCCUUAGACUUGAUGUUGCUAUUUUAACAUCCAAAAUUUUACUUGGGUGUCGGACUGUGGUUGUAGGCCACUGCUAGCUCCACCUUUAACCUCAGUUUAUUCUGUAUUGCAGGUUUUCUUAGCUCAAGGUCUGGUGAUUUUUACUCCAUUUUCAUCUUAUUUUCAUUCCCCUUGCUGAACAUCUUACUCACACAACUAUCCUCCUCCUUCUUGCAAGAGCACACUACAAGCUUAGAAAGGCAGCCUCAUCCCACCUCAAAUAGAUGUAUUUGUUCUUAUUGGAUCCACCAAAAUCUAGUUAAAACAUAUGUGCAACAUCUCACUUUUUCAAGACUAAAAGGUCUAUGCAAAAUAUGUAACUAUUCUAUUAUUUUGAAUAAAGAAAAAAACCUAAAAUUUUUUAUAGAAAGGUAGCUCAAGCUACUUUACUUUUUCGAGGGAUUGACACUUCCCCCUACAGUAAUCAACAUAUACCAUUUACCCCCCUGCUGUUUUUAUAAUAGCCAAAAACCCCACUGACAGUAUAAUUUUAUAAUAUUACCCUUAUUUUUAAUUACUCUUUUAUUUACAUUUAUUAUAAAUUAAAUAAAUUACAUGAAUAGAAACUACAUAAAAAAUUAAGUAUUAAAAACAAGAAAUAUAUGUUUUGAUAUGAGAAAAAAAUUAAUAAUAAAUUUUUUUUGUAAUUAUUUAUUUUGUGAACAUUUUCUUAUAAUAAAAAUUUUGUAAUAUUUAAAAUUAAAUGUAAAAAGUAUAGGCAAAAUAUUUUAUUAUUUAUCUUAUAAUAAAUUUUUAUUUGUCAUUCAAAUUUUCUUAUAAUAAUUUUUUUAUCAUUUUAUAAUAACUUUCUUAUAUAUUUAUUAUAAGAAAAUUUUUAAAAAAUAAGUACAAGAAAAAAAAUUUAUUAUUAAUUUUUUUCUCAUAUCAAAACAUAUAUUUCUUGUUUUUAAUGCUUAUUUUUUUUAGUUUCUAUUCAUGUCAUUUAUUUAAUUGAUAAUAAAUAUAAAUAAAAGAGUUGUUGAAAAUUAGGGUAAUAUUGUAAACUUAUGCUAUCAGGGAGGUUUUUGGCCAUUAAAAAAACAGCAGGGAGAAAAAUGGUAUAUGUUAAUUACUGUAGGGGAGAAAUUGGCAAUCUCCCUUACUUUUUCCUCCAAACAAUAAGCUCAAUGAACCAAUUUCUACUCAUUUUGCCCCACUUUGUAAACUGAUUUUCACAACAUUUCAUAAAAGUUAAGAAAGUAAUAAAAGUGUAGAAACAAGUAUAAAAUUGGGAUAGAAAAAUAAUAGAUGUGUAAAAAUGAGUACAAAAUUGGGAUGGAAAAUAAUAGAUGUAUAAAAUCGAGGACAAAAUUGGGGGCAUGAACCAAUUCAAUAAAGAUAUGUAUCAUAUAUUAUAUUAAUUAAAGUAAAUUUUUUGUACUUUAUUUUUUUUCCUUUAGCAGUUUUGACAUCAUUUUUAUAUUUCAUAUGUUUGUACAUGUAUGUAAUGAAUAAGGAUGGCAAAAUACAGGCUUGGGCUUGGGCUUUCACUUUUUUUAAUUAUUUUUAAAUUGUUAUAAACUUAUAAUGAGUUAAUAAUCAACAGUUAUUAUAAUUAGUAAUAAUUUAAAGAAAGUGACAGUUUCAAAAUAAAAUGAUAAAUAAAGAUAUUGAAGUAAAUAAAAUUUUAUAGAUUUUAAUUUUUUUUAGCACUAGAUUCUCUAAUUUAAGUAUUCUCUUAAUUAAUUAAGGUUCAAGAGAGAACCCAACAUUUUAAUUUUAGGGUUUUUGAAUUAUCAUAAAUUUAUGAAUUAAGGAUUUAAGUUUUUUUUCUUAUUAUUUUAUAUAUUUUACUUUUUAUUUAAAAAAUAGAGGGUUGGGUCUGGCCCAAGCUUUUUUGCUUAAUCCCUUGUUCAGACCCUUAUGUGAAGGAUUAGGCUUAAGCCCGCCCCCCCCGGGAACUUAGCUGGAACAACUCGGGCCUUUUUUUUUUUUUUUCCUUUCCAAGCCUACAAAUGACACAUAAAGCUAAGUUAGCAAAUGAUGCAAAAUUGAGAGAUCUCAAUUCAUAAUUGAGUUUUGAUUAUACUUUUGUUAUGAUAAAUUAGCUUUUUAGUUGGACAAUAAAUCAACAAAUUAUUAUGUAUUAUGUCUAUUAAAAUUAGGGAUAACUUGAUUAGUUCAUUUGCAGCUGAUGGAUCUCGACCAUAUCAACCAUAAGCAAGUAAGAAAUUGCACUUAAAAGAUCCAUUGUUGAGCAGGUAAGUCUAAAAGGGGUCACUUAAUUAAGUGGGUGAUCCACAAAAAUAAGAGGACAUCCGUACUCAAGUUUACACGAAGGAUGAGGUGAUACCACUAUCUAUGAUACCCAAAUUGAUCAAGAAAACAUUUUUUGUAUCAUUUUUCGGCAUAAACAACUUUCAUGUACGUAACACAUACUUCUAAUAUUGAUAUAAUGAACUAGUUCAAAAAUAAAAGAAGGUAAAAUAGCUUAAAGUAUGCAUGAAGGGGAAAAUAAAAAAAAAUAAAGUACUUUAUCCAUUAGAUAGUAUCCAAUGGUCAGUGAAUAAAAUUAUCUUAUAACCGAGUAUAUUUAUGUUUUUCAAUCACAUGAUUCUAUUUACUCUACUAAAAGACAAAAUUAUGAGAGAAUCUUAAUUUGUGAUCAGCAUGUAUUGCACCGGAUACACAACACAACAACUAUAGACUAUAAAAAAUGACAAAGAUUUCUUUAUGAAUAUGCUGAUAAUAAACAAAUGCAUGCAAGUAGUAGUACAUCAUACUGAUACCAAUUAAUAUUCGAUAAACUAUGCUAUUGCUUUCAUUUUCAUAAUCCACCUUUUGCUUUUAUGUCCAAGAUCAAUAACAAUUUUUUUCACUCUGAUUGUAAUACCCCUUAUUUUUCUAGGGUAUUUUAGCAAAUUGAUCAAGGGUAUCUUAGUUAUUUUAUUAAAGUAUUUAUUUUCUUUCCCUUGUCUUAAGUAUAAAGGGAAAAAGAUGAUAUCUCUAUUUUACGAGAGAGACAAAGAGAGAGCAGUAAAGAGAUGAAGAAGAAAAAUAAAAGAAAAGAAAAGAAGAAGAGAAGAAAAAAAAAACUAUUCUUCUUAGUUUGACCAUGAGUAAAUCAAUGGAAAGAGAAAAGAGAUCAAAGAAAUGAGUCUAUUUUUUGUGUUUAUGAAUGAAUAGAAAAUCAUGAUAAGAUAAUAGUAGUAGGAGCAGUAUCUUAGAUUUUGCGUGAAAAUAUGCUAAUAAUGGGUUGCUUCCAAAAUCAUAAUAAUUAGUACAAAUUAGUAUUUAUUUUGUGUUUUGUAUGUUAAACUAGACAUUUUCAAGAAUGUUUUGAAAACAAACUAAUCAUAUAAAAAUUCAAUUUAUUAUGAUUUUUAAAAUGCAAGUCUUAAAACUUUAGAAAUUUCUAUUUCUGGUGAAGAUCAUGAAUUGCAAAAUCAUUUUAUCAAUACCUAGAUUUUUUUAAAAAUUAUGAAAUUUGGAAUAGUGAUUUGUAUAUUUGUCUAGUAUGGUUAUGAAACUUUUCAUGAUUAUUAUGAUAAAAGGAUAAAUUGUUUUGUAUUUUUAAAGUGAGUAUGUUCAAAACAAUAAAUAGUUUGAGAGUUUUAAUGAAGUUUGAAACAAAAAUAUUUUUUAGUAGUUUUUGAAGGAAUUAAGGUAUGGAACUUUUAUUCUAAAUUUUCAAUAUGUCAGCAUGUUCUCUAAAAGAUUGAAGAUUUUUUUUUCCGAUAAAGGAAUAAUUUAUUAAAAAUUAGAGAAUAGGGCCUAUUCCAUCUUAGAACAAGUAUUGAGAUUUUUUUAGGCUGAGUUUAUUAGAUGUUUAUAAUGAGGAAUUUGAGGACAUUGGAUUUUAUAAUUAUGAUCUUAUUCGUGUAUCUUAAGAGAAUAUUUAUUAUAUAUUCAUUUUAGACCAAAGAUUUUGAUACACUUUUGUUACUUAUGGACUCUAGAAGAAAUAAGUAAACCAAGCUUCUAAAUGAAUUACAAUAAAAAUAAGUAUGUGUUUGACAUAAUUGAAAAGUCUAUUUUUGUUAUGUAUAUGGAAAUGAAUUUAUGUGAUUUUACCCAUGUGUCUAUGUCAUGUAUUGUUAUGUGUUAAGUGUGAUUGUAUACAUGGACAUAUGUAUAUGUGAAGGGCUACUAGAAUAAGCAUGAAUGUGCAUUUUGUCUUUUAUAAAAUGAGAAAGUGGAUUUUUAGCGAAUUAAUUCUUAAGGAUGAAAGUAAACAAAUUUCUUUUUUUUUUCCUUGGGUGCUUGAAUUCAUUACUUAUUUUACUAGAUACAUUAUAUAUUAUGUUAAGAGAGAAGUGGGUGAAGGAUGCUUGCGUGAAGUCCAAAAUGAGUGUUAUAUGAAAGUCUAGAUAUUCAGUGAGAAACCUACUAAGCGAUAAUUGAAUAAAUGUAGUUAAAAUAAGUGAUUUGAAAGAAAAUGUGAAAGUAUGAGAUAUUGAUGGAUUUAUUUUACAAUAUUCUCAACAAACAAUUGCAUAUCAUGCAUUUGCAAUAUAUAUAAAUAUGUAUGUAGUUUGACAUAGUAAAAAACUGAUUUGCUUGCUAAAUUUUGUACUCAUUGUAAUUUUUUUGCAUUUUAAAAUCUUAUGUUGUGUGAGGAUUUGUAUAUUAUAUAAACAUUUUUAUGUUUAUGACUUUUAAUGCUUCCGCUAUACUUAUAUAGGUUGCAAACUAUAUGUAAGAAUCACUCUUGAAAAACUUUUAGAAUACAUCAGAAGUAUCAUAUCAAUUAUAUAAUAAGAAAAUAAUAUUAUAAUAUUUAUGUAUUUAUUUUAUUAAAUUUCAUUCAUAUGAUGAUAAAUUAAAAUCAGUCACGCUUGUCACAUAUGCAUUGAUUGUAUUAUCUCUUAUGUCAAACAUUAGGGACAAAUAUUUUGUGACAGAUUAAAUUGUUACAAAAUUUAAAUAUAUAAUGACUGAUUUGAUGUCACUAAUAUAUUCAUUGAGACAAAAUUUUACAUCACUAUUGAGAUGACUGAAUUAAUUGUCACUAAUGAUAUUAAUAGCAAUACAUUCAAGUGUCAUAUUUAAUUUGGUAAUGACUAAAUAAAUUGUCACUAAUUGAAUCUAUAGUGGCACAUUUCAUUGUCAACAAUGAUCAUCAAUGACUAAUUUAAUUAUCUCUAACUAUAUAAAUAACGACACAUUAACAGUCACUAGUAUCAACAUAAUGACACAUUAAUAGCCCCUAGUAUCAAAAUAAUGACAGAUUUAUAUGUCUAAAAAUAUGAUUUUAGUGACAGGUUUUUGCUUUUGUCCUUACUUAUCAUAAACUUAUAUUUGUCACUAUAAGAUGUGUAUUAGUGACACAUAAUACUUGCGAUUAUUUACUAAUUGCCACUAUAUGUUUUAGUGACGGUGGCAAAUGCGACACAUAAACAACGAUAUAUAGUAUGUCAUUAAAUUUAUUUUGUGACAGAUUUUAUAUAUAUAAAGAUAAUUUUUUUCCAUCACAAUAGAUCAAUUUUUUUGUAGUUUACAUCGAAUUUAUGUAGAGAAGGACUUCUGCGGUUGAUGUGGUGCGUGCGUCGGUUUAUGGGUCCACACGAUGAAACACAAUAAUGCAAAUAAUUCAUAACGUUUAAAAAUUAAAAUAAAAAAUUUCUGGUUCUUAUUAUGGGACUCAUAGACCAAUUAGAUGUUCCUCUAUAAUUGUGCAAACCACUUGAUCAGAAUAGUGCACCCAACACAGACAAGGUUUUGCCCUCCAUAUACUUAGUUACAAACCUUGAUUUCCCAGAAGAAAAUAUAUCUCAAUUACAUCACUACUUCAAAAGAAACCCGAUAAAAAUGGAGACCCAAAAUUCAAAACAAAUACCUCGUGCCUAUGUAGCCAUGGUGCCAACGCCAGGCAUAGGUCACCUAAUUCCCCUAGUUGAGUUAGCCAAGCGACUAGUACAUCAAUACAACUUUCUAGUUACCAUAUUCAUCCCCACCAUCGAUGAUGGCACAGGCUCAUCCAUUCAAACAAUAAGACAGGUCCUCGAAUCCCUACCCACUUCCAUUUCCACCAUCUUUCUUCCUCCUGUGAGUUUUGAUGACUUGCCUGACGACUUUCGGAUAGAAACUCGGAUCACCCUCACCCUCGUUCGCUCCCUUUCUUCACUAAGGGAUGCUCUCAAGGUGUUAGCCGAGUCAACUCGGCUAGUUGCUCUAGUUGUUGAUCCUUUUGGGUCGGCUGCGUUCGAUGUGGCAAAUGAAGUCGGUGUUCCUGCUUAUGUUUUCUUUACUACCAACGCCAUGGCACUGUCUUUUCUCUUUCAUUUACCUGAGCUUGAUGUUAAGUUUAGCUGUGAGUAUAGGGACGUGCCUGAACCGGUCCAGUUGCCCGGAUGUGUCCCGGUUCACGGGCGUGAUUUUGCAGAUGGGUUCCAACAGAGAAAGAAUGAGGCAUAUCGAUUUCUUUUAAGCUUUAGC